ACCCACCGAUGGGAAUAAACGAAAACAAAAUACAAAAUUCGAAGCGCAGAAAAAAAACACGACCGUUCACUUUGAAAGUCAAAGACGUUUGGACAUCGAAUCUUCUCAACAGUUGGAUGGCAGCGAACAAGGAAAUGGUGCCUCACUUGUAACUCAGCCACCACCGCUACCGCCAGCAGAAGCGAUUCCCGAUAUCUCCGUGGAGCAGCCUUCAGAUGUGCAGCAGAACUUGAAGCUGAAGCUGAAAAAAAUUGGAGGGAUGUGGCAGCCUGUCACUGCGAGCGUUGCUGACAGCGGAGAACAUGCUGACAUUCAUUGAGUCAUUCUCUUACAUACACUUGUACAGUGCGGACCGCACCGGAGAAAGAAUAAAUAUUAUUUGUGUCAUUACAGUCCUCUUCACGCUUUCGGGAUCGGUAUGACGUUUACCGUUGAAGCCAACCCGAACGCCUGUCGGAAGUCAACUCCAAAGUUCGCUGCCUGCAGCUAGUGCCGUUUCCACUACGUACUUCUGGACGGGCACACCUAAACCUUCGACCAGGUCUCUGCACGUGACUCAUCUUGUUGGCAGAUCUGAAUGAUUUUCCCGUUUGAGCUGAAGCCGCUAAAUAGAUAAUAAAUAAUCGUACAAUGCGUGUAAGUCACGGAACACGACCACUCAUUUAAGUUUAAAACCGAUAUGAAAAAUAAAAAACCAACCAGAAACCAAAUAAAUCAAAUUUAAAAGUUUGUACAGUGUGCACUCGGCUUAGACGUUUGACAGCUACCGAUUUAUAUCCCUGGCCUACGCAAAGUCAUUUGCCAUUUUUCCCUGUACUAUCCCAAAACUGGGUUAUAAAAAAAAUCCAAAGCCAUCCUAACGAAACCCUAAGCACACUGAGCUAGGAGGGGGUCACCCUUUACCAAACUUUAUCGAAAUCCCAAUAAAACCAAAAUAAAACCAAAUAACCAAUUACCUACUAUCUUAUUUCCUUCCAGCCAACUUUAAACGCAUAAACUUUCACAUUGACUAUUUUUUUUCCGGCACUUUAUCCAUUUUAAGAUUUUUAAAUCCUUUGAUUUACCUUUAAAAUGCCUUUCCAAAAUUGUAUGGCUUUCCAAAAUGCCUUGCAAUUGACCUCAAAAUCAAAUGCAAUCUGCUUCAAAGGUAAUUUUUCUACUUCGCACUCAUGUCUAGGAAGGCAACGAGCUUUAACAAUUCAAAAGUUCAUGACAGCCUAAAACUUAUCUAAAACCAAAGUUAUAUUGUGGCAAAACUGAAACAGUGAAUUCUUUUGCACAUUUUGCCUUCCCCCAGCCAUUCUGGAAAACUCGCCCAUAAAAAAUAACACCCAAUCAACAGCUGAAACAAUGCAUACGUAUAAACCGGUUAGCAGAAUAGUAAAUAAUAUGAAAAAUUACAGAUUGAAUAAUAG